rnacentral:lncRNA from 1 species
UGGCAUCUAAAUCCAAUAGAGCGUUGGGAAAACAAAAGUUGUAAAGAACAUAAUUAAGGGCUGUAACAAUAACAAUAAGUAUUCACUAACUCUAACAAUAAGAAAAACAAUCUUAAAUCUGAAGGGCCCAAGACAAGAAAAUCAAAAAAGUCAUCCAUGAAAGGGAAAACCUGUCGGGGUUAAAGAACUACAACAACAAAAUCUUGGCAAGCCUCAAGAGACCUCAUCCAUGAAUAUUAGCAGCUUCCCAACCAAAUUGGCAGAUCAGGGUUGGUAAGGUCACGAGCCUGCAGAGCAGCAGUUCUUAGCGUCCUAAUUGUCGACAUGUUGGCCUCCCAAAACGAUAAACUCCUAUAAGGCAAAUUAUGCUUCUUGCAUAGGUCCUUCACCAAAGGGGAAAUGCUCCUCAAAUGGCACCUUGGCAACUGAGGAAACAAAUGGUGCUCAAGCUGAAACUGCAGACCACCAUGAAACCAGUCCAUCCAAGUUGAGCAUGAAAUAUAAAUUGUCCCACUAUUCUGCUUCUCAAACCAAUCGUUCCCACAAGGCGGCCCAACAUACACAUUAGCUGAAAAUUGGUUCAAAGUGAAUUAAAUAUGUUGAAUUGAAGUCCUUGUAGCAUUUGAACAAGUUGUGGGUUGAAUAGGGCUGAAGCUUGCUGUAAUUCAGCUGCGCACUCGUCGCUUCUGCUCCUCCUGGCACAUUCUACUGGUACACACCCCAUUCGUCCAGUGCUUGUCGGAUUCUCUUGUUGUUGCAUGUCGGAUUCCCCGCGGUGAGUUUAGAUGGAGUUGACAACUGAGUUCUACAUGAUGAGCCAAAAAACGUUUGGGUUGGGCCAUCCUCGCCACCUCUUCACGGAUGAUUUGCUGCAUAUUGAAACUGCUAUGGUGUUCAGUUUGAAGGAAAGAAGAAGACGACAUGACAGUGAGGCUGAGUGCUGCUGAUCAAAAUGUGCAUGUGCGGAGGAAUAAGGAGGGAGAAUUAGUGGAUGGGAAGUAUGGAUAGCUAUUCAUUAUCACAGGUGGAUUUUGGGCAGCUUGGGCAGCCCAAAGCAUGGGCUGUGUCAGAAGAAAGACUUUUGAUGUCUGGUGAAGGUGGUAGGGAUAGGUUUUUUUGAUUGCCUAAAGAAUAGGGUGUUGCAGGGUAUGGCAUGGUCUGAAGUACUUGUCUUGAGCAACUAAAAAUAAGCUUUAAAGAGAGAGUGGUAUGAGAUACGGUUUAAGCCAUCUGAAAUAUGAGCAGUAGCAUGUAGCAACAAAGCAUAAUUGAUGGGUGAGAUAAAUGGGAAGCUAGGCUAUUGAUGGACGGUUGAUGCAUGGGUUCGUUUAAGGUGUGUUUGGAAUGUUUUAAAUUAUAUGAAAGCUAAAUAUAAAUAUUUUAUAAAAUCAUACAAGUUGCAUAUUUGUUUUUUAUUUACAAAAUUAAAUUAUUUUAUGUUUUGAUGUGUGAUUUUUAAUAUCAUAUACACUUUACUUAUGAUUCAUGAUAUCUAAAAAUAAUAAUUAUUUUGGCAUGUUUAUUAUAUAAAAAAAAUAACACAUUUUGUUUUAUAUUUUAUAAGACAUGAAUUAGAUAACCAUAAUAAACUCAAAUUUUAAUUUUGUUUUUGGUUCAUAAAGUAUUAAAAAAAGAAUUGCUUUGAUAUAUUAAUAAACUCAAAUCUUUAUUUUGAUUUAGGAUUCCUUUGAUGUUAAAAAAUAAAAUUAUUUUAUCAUAAAAUAAAGAUUUGAAUAUAUAUUUAAUAACCUUAACAUAUUAUUUCUCAAUUUAAUCAUUCAAUAUAUUGAUUAAUACCUCAAUUUCUAUAAUUUAUAAGAUAAAGUUAACAAAAAAAACUUGAAUCUUAUUAAAUCAUUCUUAAAAAAAAAAAAACAACCUCAUUCCAAUUCAUUAUCAAAACCUUAUUAUAUUUUAUAUUUUUAAAGAAUAUGAUAUCAAUUAUUAUAUUAUUUUAAAACAUAAAUUUAUUUGUAAGAAUUAAGGGUUUAGAAUUCUAAACAAACCUAAAUAUGCUAUAACUCAAUAAAAAAACAAAGUCCUAAAUUAAUAAUUAAGGAUCACUACACACGAAAUAGGGAUCCACUUAUUCUCUCCAAAAUAUCUAAUUGAAAAUCCAAAACUAAUCAUCGAUAUAGUCUUACUAGACCAUCAAUUAAUAAAAGCUAAAAACAACUCAAAAAAUAACCACAAUUGCACACUAAAGCAUCAAAGCAUGUAGGAGGACAAUCCUAUAUGGAAUGUGUCAAGAGAACAAAAUAGAGGGUUUAUAAUAUUCUAAGAAAAAAAACACGUUACCAUAUACAUAAUCAUCUUUCUUAGUUUAGACUUUAAUAUGGUAGUAUCAAACUAAAGUUGUUUGAUUGUCAGCCACUUUAUUAAGCUAGGUUUAAGUCUUUUCAUACUUCAACUCUAUCCCAGUUCAUUUAUACUAUAUCUUUAUAUUUUAAUACUUAGGGUUUAUUUGCUUUCACUAGUAUUUUUCAAUUUUAUAAUUUCAAGGAGACGCCUAAAUAAUAUUACUUUAAGCAUUUUUUUAAUUUUUUUUGGUUUUAGGAUAUAAAUGGUCUAUUUGAUAACUGUUUUUUAGAAUAGUUUUUUUGUUCUCUAUAACAAAAAAAAAAAAAAAAAACCUUUGAUAAUAAAAAAUAUGAUAUUUUUAGAUAACAUCUUUUAGUUAUUUUCUAUUAUUUUCACUUCUUUUUUAUGAUUAUUUUUAAAAAUAAUUAUACAAACAUAUAAAAUUAUUAAAAAUAAAAUAUUAAACAUAAAAAUUAUUUUUAAAAAUAUUAAAAACAGGUUAAAAACAUUUUAGGUUUUAAAACAUAUAUAUUUUUUUUCACAUAAAACAUUAGAUAACAAUUUUUAUCUUGACUUUUUUUUCCUAUUGAGAGUGACAAUUUAUUUUGAAAACAUUAAAUAUAAAAAUUAAUAUAAAAUUUAUUUGAAAAACAUAUUUAAAAUAUUAAAAACAGUCUAAAAACAUUUUAAGUUUGAAAUAGAUUUUUAUUUUAUAAAUAUGAAAGAAUAAUUUUUAAAUGCUUGAUAGCUUUAUAUUUUUUAUUUUGUACCAUCAAAUUUUAAAAAAGAAAAUGGCUAACAAACAUGUGUGAUAUAUCAUAAUUCUAAAAACAAAAAUAUAAAUAUAUAUAUAUAUAUAUAUAUAUAUAUAAAUUAUAAAUUUUAUUAUUUACCCAUUUUUCUAAAGACAAUUUCAUAAAAUGAAUUAUUACUUUGGACUGUAUUUGGCAAUUAGUUCUGAAAAUAGUUUAAAAAAAAAAAAAGUUUUAAUAUUUUGUGUGGUGGAGUCACGUCAUCAGCAUCCUAAACCAUGAAAUGGUUAAAUGUUGCAGGUUAGAUGGGUUAGCUUUGGACUACUUAUAGGCUAUAGGAUAGUGGAGAAGUGGAGAAAAUGUCAUAUCCCCAAUCAUUAUCCCUAAAUUGUUAGCUACUUAUAGCAUAUCAAAAUACUGAACAUUACCACCCAGUCGGUGGAGAAAAAAAAUAAAAAAAAGGGAAAAAAAAAUCCAUAAAAAAAUGUGUUGAGGGGGAAAAAAAUCCAUAAAAACUUAUUACUAUAUAUUUAAACGUUUGUGAUAUAUAUAAUUAGAAUCAAGGAUAAAAAUAUCAAUAAUUAUAUAUAUAUCGCUACUGUGAUUUUAGGGAUAUAUCAGAAAUAUUAGAGAAAUAUCAAUGAAUAUUUUUUCACAAAUAUCGGUCGAGCGAAAAUUAUUUAACAUUCAUAGGAAUGAUUGGAAAAACUGUAAAAAUGAUAAAAUAAGCAAGAAUACACAUUUUAAAAUUAUUUUGUAAGUAUAAUUGACAUAGAUAUGAUAAAAAGAAAAAAACAUAGAUAAACAAACAUAUAUUGGUAUAUUCGAUAUUUCAAUUUUAAGAAUAAUAAAUAUGCAUUUUGGAAAUGAAUAAAGUUAGAAUUGAGUUAAAAAAAUAUUUGUUUUUAUUGAAUAAAAAUAAUUUAUACAUAUGAUAUUGCAAUAGGAGUUAGUAUCAAAAUAAAGAUCGAUAUGGUUCUAUCAUAUUAUUAGAUGAAGGGAGCCUAUCUUGUUGAAGACAAUAUUUAUUUUCAAAAUUUUAAAAUACUUUUAUUAUAACAUGUUUUAUUACAUUUUAAAUGAAAAAUGAAAUUAAUUUAUAUAAAAUAUUUUAUUUGAGAUUUAAUUUCUAUAAUUUUAUUAAAAAUAUGUUAUAACAAAUUUUUUUAUUAACAUUAAUUUAUUUAAAUAAUUAAAAUUAUUAAUAAUUUAUCUUAUGAAAUUAAUUUUAAUUUCUAAAAUAUGGCCCAUAGAAAGCCAAAUUUCUGAUUUCAUCAAGAUGGAUAAUUAAUAUAUAUUUUUAUUGAGGGAGGAAAAUUGUUCUCAUAAUUUGUUUCCUUGUUUUUCUAUUUGUACUAAAUCUAAAAAUCAAAAGGCCUCACUUCCUUUGACUCGGCCAUGAAGAAGCCAUUUCUCCAGUUGCCUUCCACAAGAGAGAAUCCCUAAAAAGGCCAUUUUUUCCUCUGCCACUCUCUUUCAACGCAAGUACUAAUCUGAUAUGGUUACUAUUACUAUUAUUAUUAUUGCAAUCCCCAUUUGAUUCCCACAAAAACUCUUUCCCCCAUUCCAUUUCUGGGAAGAUUCUUCCCCGGUUGAUUUCGGAGACAAUCCAUGCAAAACCCCCAUGGAAAACCAUAAAAAAAAAUGUUCUUUUUCUUUGUUCCGUGUGGUUUCUGGAUGUGUUGUAAGGGUGUCUUAGCUUUUGUACCAUUGGAUUUAAAUUUUAUGAACCCUAACUCCACGAUUUUUUGGGCAGGUUGAAAAACUCAACCUUUGCCUGCAAAUCAUGGUCAUAUUAUCGAAUAGCAUCUUAUGUUUUUUUUUUUUUUAAAAAAAACGGAUAGAUUUUGUAUCCUGUACGUGGGUUGGACUGGUAGGAAAUAUCGGUCAAUUUUCUGAAAAAUCGUAAAAAUACCGAUUAAUACCGAAAUAUCGGAUAAAUUUUUGAAAAAUUACCGAAAUUUCUGUGGACCAAUAAUUGGUUACGAAUUUUGUGUUGGAGUCGGUAUCUUUCAUCAUCCACAUGGGUAUGGAAUUGUUCCAUUUUUGGGACAAGGAGCUUAACUAAAGUUGGUGAAGUGGAGACAAAGCAGGAAGAUGGGAGGAAACUAUUCCUUUAUUUAUUAUUAUAAUUAUUAAUUGUUAAUUAUUAUAAUUAUUGAAAUGGUCGUCACUUUUUGAUUUUAUUGACUUAGAUGGAAGUGGAACCUCCAUAUGGCCAUAUAGGUUGGUGGUUGGCCCUUUAGUUUUUUUAUUUUCUUUUCUCCACCUAGUGUACUAGGAUUAGAUUAGGCAUCCUUUUGGAACUCUUAUAUAAAUUUUCAAGGAUAUUUCCCAUCGAAAUAGUAUUUUAUUAAUAAUUAUUAUGAAAGCAAUGACAAAAAAAUUUAUUAAAAAAAUAUGACAAAUUUUAUGGUAAAAUUAUUUAUUAAUCAAAAAUAGUUUCUAUGAAAAAGAUAAACAUGAAAUAUGAAAAUUCUAAAAUUAUUGAAAGAAAAAGAUUAUAAAAUAAAUAUCAUAAAUAAAUUAAAAUGGAUAUUUUAUAAUUCUAAUUUAUUUAUUACAAAAUUCAUUAUAAAAUAUUUUAUUGCUAUGUAAUAAUGGUCCACAAUUUUCAACCCAUUGUAGAAAUAAAGCAAAGCUUUCUCAAAUUGCAUUGGUACGUAAUGAUGAUCCUAUUUUUUUAGCCAAAAAGUAGAACAAGAAACAUGAAACCUGAUGAGAAAAAAAAAACAAACAAGGAGAAAAAGAACUAAGAGUUUUAAUGGAGAUUGAUGUUCUAUUUGUUGUUUAAAAGUUCAUCUCCUUGUACCAAAAAUGCAGGUCCUCCUAGGUUAGCUUUUGAAUUUCUCAAUCACUAGAGGACAAUUUCAAGGGACAAGUCUUGUUAAGGUAAUUUUUUACUCUCCCCGGUUUCUCUCUCUCUAUACUUUCCAAUGAAACUCUAACUUGUCAAUACUUCAUUUUUUUAUAAAGGAAAUUGAGCAUAAAUAAUCAAACUUGCAAUUGAGUUAUUUGAUGGUUAGUAGAUUUGGUCUAGUGGGUGGGUUUACUUUUAAUUUAAUUUGAUUCCAUUGAAUGUGACGUUGAUGACUUUAUAUUUUGAGUAUUAACUUUUGUUUGUUUGUUGCCAAGUGUAAUUAAAUUUCUCUACUCAUAAGUUUUCAAGUAAAUAUAUUUCUUUUUUCCUCUACUAGGCAAAUAGCAAAUAUGUUAAAGGAAUUAAAUGUAUUUCAUUUUAAUGUGUUUAGGAUACUUAGAUAGGAUUUAAAUAAGUUCAUGCAUGAAACAUUAGACUUCCCGUUCUAGCAUCCUUGUAUGAAAAAAAUUUCUCUUAUUACAUGCUAAGGACAUUUAAGUUGUCAAAGAAUGAAAAUGGUUCAUUGAUGAACAACUUUGAAGUUGACAACUUCUAAAUUUGUCUAGCAUGUGAAUGAGACUAUUUUUUUCUACAAAUGAUGCUUGAAGUGUCCAAUUGGACAAUAUAAGGAAAACAUAAUAUCUUUGAAGUUACGCUCUUAUGCUUGGUUCAUUUUUUAGAAAUUUCGAUAGUCGUUCCUUUUGUUCUCUAAGUGCAUAUUUGGACAAGGCUGAAUAAUAUGCCUUCUCCAUUUUGUGUACUUGGAGAACUAUAGGGAAAUGCUGUCGAAAUUUUUCUAAAAUGAAACGAAACAUAAUAGUUGUUGACAUGUAGGGAUUAUGUAUUCCUAUAUGGGAUAGGAACCACCACCUAAACUAGGAAGUUGGAGAUGUUAGAAUGCAUAAGACAUGUAGUAUAAGUUGAUAUUAGUUUAACAAGAUAGAAUCAUGAGAGUUAAUUAUGUUUCUUGGUUUAAUAUUUUGAUAUAUAAUUUUAUUUUAAUUUUACAGAAAUAUGCAUAAUAAAUUAUCUUUGACGAUUCGAGAGUGAAUAAAGACUUAAACAAAUGUAAGAUAUAUUUAUUUCUCAUUUGCAUGGUAGGACAUCAACUAGAUAGGAUCAUAAUUCUAUAAGAGAACCACAUUUAUUACUUUGGUUCAAUACGUAAUGAAAUUAAAUGUAUUUAAUAAGAUGAAAUAUCAUGAAGUAAUAGAAAUUUUAAAUUGAUAAUUUGUGGCAUUAACUACAAUGACAUGAAUUGAAUAAGACAAUUUUUAUAAUUAACCACCCCACUUUCAUAUACUUGUAGACAACAUGGAUAUAUUACAUGAUGAAUCCUUUUGAUAUAUGAUACAACAUUAACAUUUCAAAAGUGUUAAAACAAUUGCUUUUGUAGACAAAAAAAAAAAAAAAAAAAGGUCUAAUGCAUGGAGCAAGAGCCCUUACUCUUAACAAGUUGAUUCUAAUGUUAAAAUUCCUCAUGAUUAAUUCAUUGUGUAUUUGAAUCAUAGAAUGGAUCGAAGUUGGAUGUCUAAAGAUAGAAUGUCAAGGGAGUACGAGGAAGGAGUUGAAUACUUCAUUAAUUUUGCAUUAGAACAUUGUCCCAAUCAACGUGGAAUUCGUUGUCGUUGUAUGCGAUGUGGAAACUUAAUACAUCAUACACCUAACAAGACGGGAACAUAUGUUUUUCAAUGGAAUUGACCAGAGUUAUUAUACAUGGUAUUGGCAUGGAGAAGCAGGUCUUACUAGUAGCCAACCAACUGAAAUGGCACAACGUUAUGACACGAUGGAUUGUGGUGACGUUGCUAGUACAGUAGAAAUGGUUCAUGCUAUAGAAGAUGAGUUUAUGACAGACCCAAUGUCAUUUAAAAAAUUGCUUGAAGAUGCUGAAAAACCUUUGUAUCCUAGUUGUAUAAAGUUCACAAAACUUUCUGCACUAGUUAAAUUGUACAAUGUGAAGGCACGGUAUGGGUGGUCAGAUAAAAGCUUUUCAGAUUUACUCCAAAUAUUAGGGGAUAUGCUCCUGGUCAACAAUGAGAUGCCUUUAUCCAUGUAUGAGGCAAAGAAAACAUUGAAUGCAUUAGGGAUGGAAUACAAAAAGAUACAUGCAUGCCCAAAUGAUUGCAUACUAUACAGGAAUGAGUUAAAUAAAGCAUCUUCAUGUCCUACUUGUGGAACGUCAAGGUGGAAGGUAAACAAGGCAGGGGCAAGAAACACUAAGAGGAUUCUUGCAAAAGUGUUGUGGUAUUUCCCACCCAUCCCUAGGUUUAAGAGGAUGUUUCAAUCUCCCAAAAUAGCGAAAGACCUAAAAUGGCAUGCACAAGGAAGAGAAAAUAAUGGUAAACUUCGACACCCAGUGGAUUCCCCAACAUGGCAACUAGUGAACCAAAUGUGGCCUGAAUUUGCUUCGGAUUGUAGGAACCUUAGACUUGCCAUUUCAGCAGAUGGUAUCAAUCCUCAUAGCUCCAUGACCAGUAGGCAUAGUUGUUGGCUUGUUCUCACAAUAACUUACAACCUUCCCCCUUGGUUAUGCAUGAAGAGGAAAUUUAUGAUGUUAUCUUUACUAAUAUCAGGACCACGACAACCUGGUAAGGAUAUCGAUGUUUAUUUGGCACCAUUAGUUGAUGAUUUGAAAACAUUGUGGGAUGUAGGGGUGAAAGCCUAUGAUGCACAUCAACAAGAGUUCUUCACAUUAAAUGCUAUUUUGUUAUGGACGAUUAAUGAUUUCCCUGCAUAUGGAAACUUGUCUGGUUGCACCGUUAAGGGAUAUUAUGCUUGUCUAAUAUGUGGUGAAGAAACAAAUUCACAUUGGCUAAAACAUGGGAAUAAGAACUCAUACACCGGGCAUAGAAGAUUUCUUCCAUGCAACCAUCCAUUUAGAAAGCAAAAGAAGGCAUUUAAUGGUGAACAAGAGUUUAGGUUACCUCCAAAAGAACUUACUGGAGAUGAAAUAUUUACAAAGGUUGAUAUGAUUCAUAACUCAUGGGGGAAAAAAAAAGGCUAAACAAUGUGAAUCCUUUGCUAAUCCGACAAGUUGCUGGAAAAAGAAGUCUAUAUUUUUUGAACUUGAAUAUUGGAGAUAUUUUUAUAUCCGACACAACUUGGAUGUCAUGCAUAUAGAGAAGAAUGUUUGCGAGAGCAUCAUUGGAACUUUGCUUAACAUUCCAGGUAAAACAAAGGAUGGAGUAAAGUCUCGACUUGAUUUUCUCGAAAUGGGCUUAAGGCCUAACUUAGCACCAAGGUUUGGGUUGAAGCGAACUUAUCUUCCUCCUGCAUGCUAUACUCUUAGUAGAAAGAAGAAGAAAAUACUAUUACAGACUUUAGCUGAUUUGAAGGUUCCAGAAGGUUAUUGUUCAAACUUUAGAAACCUUGUGUCCAUGGAAGAGCUAAAGCUUAAUGGUCUUAAGUCCCAUGAUUAUCAUGCACUUAUGCAACAACUACUACCAGUAGCAAUAAGAUCCGUGUUGCCUAAGCAUGUCAGAUAUGCCAUUACAAGAUUGUGUUUUUUCUUUAAUGCGCUUUGUGCAAAGGUGGUGGACGUGUCAAGAUUGAAUGAUAUACAACAGGACAUAGUGGUGACUUUGUGCUUGCUAGAGAAAUAUUUUCCACCUUCCAUCUUUGACAUCAUGCUUCAUUUAACAGUGCAUUUGGUAAGAGAGGUUAGAUUAUGUGGACCAGUGUAUAUGAGAUGGAUGUACCCAUUUGAAAGGUACAUGAAAGUCCUCAAGGGUUAUGUUCGAAAUCAUAAUCGUCUAGAAGGGUGCAUUGCUGAGUGCUAUAUCGCAGAGGAAGCCUUAGAGUUUUGUACAGAGUAUUUAUCGUGCAUGGAUGCAAUUGGGAUUUCUUCUAGUGUGAAAGAUGAAUGGAAAUGUGGGAAACCAUUACUUGGUGGUCGUGCAAUAACUAUUCAUGAUUACAAAUUGGUGGAGCAACCACAUCAUUAUGUUCUACAAAAUACAACCAUUGUACAACCGUUUAUUGAGUAAGUGUCAUAUAUGUGAAUAUUUGAUUUUAAAAUUCUAACUAAUGUUUAUACAAACCAUGACUUGCCUAUUUUUGCUUGAUAGUGAACAUAUGAAAUAUUUGAAGACAAAAUAUCCUCGUCAAUCAAAGAGAGUGAAGUGGCUAGAGGAUGAACAUGUGCGCACAUUUAGUUAUUGGCUUAGAAAAAAGGUAUGAAACUAUUCAUACUCCCCUUAAAAUUUAAUGCUUACAAAAUUUAAAUUACAUUAACUUACAUAUCAUUAAUGAACCUUAUAGGUUUCAGAUGACAUAAGUAAGAAAGAACCUAUUGAAAAGGAACUUAAGUGGCUUGCACAAGGACCAAGACAACAAGUUCUUACGUACCUUGGAUAUAUCAUUCAUGGUUGUCGUUACCACAUCAAGAACCAUGAUGAGGCACGAGUCAACCAAAAUAGUGGUGUUAGUAUUGUGGCAUCGACCAUGCAAAUUGCAAGUUCCAAAGAUAAGAAUCCUGUGCUUGGUGACAUGUGUUUUUAUGGGAUUAUCACAGAGAUAUGGGACCUUGAUUAUAACAUGUUUAACAUUUGUGUUUUUAAGUGUGAUUGGGUUGAUAGCAAGAAUGGUGUCAAAGUUGAUGAGCUUGGUUUUACAUUAGUUGAUUUGAGCAAGAUAGGACAUAAAUCAGAUCCUUUCAUUUUGGCAAUGCAAGCCCAACAAGUUUUUUAUGUAGAAGAUCAAGUUGAUCCAAGAUGGUCUAUUGUAUUAUCAAGGCCAAAAAUGGAGUUGUUUGACAUAGAAGGUGAUGACAACAUAGCCGACAAUUGUAUGGAGCAUCACCCAUUCGCGAAUGGGAUGCCUAAUAUUAAGUCUUUUGAUGAAGUUGAAGAUUAUGAUGAAAUUUGUAUGCGUACUGAUUGUGAGGGGAUUUGGAUUGAAAAUUAAGCUUAAUACUUUUUUUUGGUUGUGAUUGUGAUUACUAAGUGUAUUAUGUGAUUUUUGAGUUAUUGUUAAUAUACAAUAUGAUGCUCAACAAUGUUAUGUUUUUAUUUUAUUCUUGUCAAAUAUAUUUUUAUUAUUAUAUACUUGCUAAGCUAUUCUAAAUAAAUGUAGUUAGCAUCAUAUUUAUAUAUUUUGAAUAGUUUGAACUUUCAUUUGAGCUUAAUUGAUAUGUAGUUAAAUAAAUGUUGCUUAUAUGUUGAUAUUGUAUGUUUAAUUUAAGAUUAGACAAGAUAAAGCCAUUACUCACUUAUUUCAUAUUGAUUCAACUUUUAAAUAAUUUAAGGGGUAAUUGCAUUGAAGGUUUCCAUAGAUUUGAAUUAAAAACUUUAAAUCAAAGUGUUAAACUACGUACUAUGCAAAACAAAGCAAAAGGUUUUAUGGGAAGAUAGAUUGAAUCCACCAACCCAUAAUGAACCGGUUUGAAACAUUAAUAAAUAACAUAUAUGAAUUAACUGUAAACAUAAUAACAACCUACCUUAUAUGAAGUUGAUCUUCGUUAGGAGUCAUCUAACAAUGGAAAAAUAUGUUUUAAUUGAUAGUUGAAUAUUCUUAUUUCCAACUGAAAUGGUGUAUGAAUACCAUAAUUUUUAUUUUCUUGCUCUUUCCUUUGUUUUAGGUCACUUGUUUAUGCUAGAGAACAAAACUUUUGAGAGAUAAUUGAUCAAGUUGCAAUUUUUGUGUAAUUGAAUAACAUUAGUUUUAAAAAAUUCAAAUAAAGUUUCAUUAAUGUGAAUUUGGUGGAUUUUUUACUUUAUGUGAAUUUAGAGAAAAUCUUCUUCAAUUUAUUUUACUUCAACGAAUGUAGUCUUUGGUUUGUUAUUGUUAACUAUUAGUGACAUUACUCCAUCCUCAAUAUUGUGUAAGUGAAGCCAUGUAUCCUAGAAUCAUUAAAGUUAAGGCAACCACAUCUCAUUACAUAUGAUUAAUACUUAUAUGCUUAAUAGUAGGAAAAUCAAACACCUUGCAAUGCAUCCUCAACCCACACUUUUAAACUUCAUUUUAUGAGUAUUGCAUCCUAACUAGAAACAUGCAUUCCAAUUAGGACCUUAUAACAGUAGUGACUAAAAUAGAUGUAAUUUAACUAAGCUAUAAGUAGAAUGUGUGUGUGUGUGUGUGUGUUUAUAAGAUAAGUCAUGGUAAUUUUCUUUAAACUCGAUGAUAUGUUGUUGUUGAGGUUUAGCAAUAGAUUAGCCUAUUAAUUUUAUGCAUAUUUUAUAAUCAACAUUUAAGAUUAAUUUUCAUGUAUUGCAAAGUUUGUACAACAAUGAUUUAUUCAUACUUAUGAAAUCAUUUCGUAACUAAUUUCUUUCGAUUUAGUUGAGAUGCAUUUUCAAGUGUUGUUUAUUAUUGCCUAAUUCUGAAUUAUUUGGGAACUUGGGAGAAAAGUGCUACAUUUUUACGGAUGGCUCCACCAAGAAGAGAUAAAAAGCAGGUAACUAUUAAAAUAUCAUGUUUUACUUUUGAAUGUAAGAUAUAUAUAUAUAUGUAUGUAUGUAUUAUGAGAUUAAUCAUAUUCUUUUGAUUGUCAUGUAGAUGGAUGAAAAGGAAGGAAAACAGAAGAUUACUUCACCAAAAAGGUUAAGAGGCCCAACUUUAAAACCUGAAAUUGCUAAAAAGAGAAGUGAAAGACUGAAAAUUGACAUUCAAUAUAAUGAUGAUGGUGAGGGAGUGGGUGAGGGAUAUGUACAACUUGUAUCAUACAUGGGUGUGUUAGCACGAACCAUGGUGCCAGUUUAUCAUACUGAUUGGAGAGUAGUGUCUGUGGAAUUGAAGGAGAAAUUAUGGGAUUGCGUUAAGGUAUAUAGAAAUCUAUUGAAAUUAUUUUUCUAUAUUUUGUGUAGACUGACAUGAUUAUUAAAUAAUCAAUAUCUUCUUAUAAAGUAUGUAGUAAUCUAAUGAAAUUAUUUUCCUUUAUUUUGUGUAAAUAAUCAAGAUCUUAUAUUUUAGGGUGCAUUCUUGGUUGAUGAGAAUAGAAAAAACAACGUCAUAUCAUCCAUUGGGACUAGCUUUAGGUCAUUCAGGCAUAGAUUGACACAAGAGUAUAUCCUGCUUUAUAAGGAUAAGCCCGAGUAUCUUUUGCAGCCACCAACUGAAUAUAAUUACAUUCCAAUUGAAGACUGGAGAAAGUUAGUGGCUAAUAGGUUGUCAAAAGAGUUUCAAGUUAAAUCAAAAAAAGGAAAAGAAAGGAGGGCAAAAUACGUUUAUAUUCAUCGAGUGAGUAGGAAAGGAUAUGCAGGACUUCAAGAAGAAUUGGUAAGUUGAAUUAGUAUAUUUUAUUUUGUUGGACAUUUACUUUUGUAAAGUUUAAGUACUUCACUUUUUUGUUUUUUGAUAGAUGCAAAAGACAGGUUCGAGGAAACCUAUUGAUAGAUGGGUCUUGUGGAAGCUAACAAGAUUGAAAAAAGGUGAAUAUGAUGAAGUUACGAGGCCUGUAGUGGAAAAGAUUGUAAGUUGUCAAACCUAUACUUAGUUUUAGUCAAUUUCAUUUGUUUUUAUUUAUUUAAUAUGACUUUUGAAGUAUCUUAUAUUUUUUUGGAGGAUGAGUUGACAAAGGCUGUUGAGGAAGGAAAGAUCACAUGUGUUGGCCAAAAGGAUAUCCUUACUUUAGCAUUGGGUACAUUAGAGCAUCCUGGACGGGUUAGAGGAAAAGGUGGAAAAAAAAAGCCCAAACAAUUCUUCAACACACCAAAACCCACAAAAACUCUUGAAAAGGAGGAAUGUCAAAGGAUGUUAAUGGAGAAAGUCAAGAGCUUGGAAGAGGAGAUCAUUGCUUUGAAAGCUGGAAAAAAAGAACCCCUCACACCCCGCUCUGAAGUGAGCAGCACAAACAUAAGGAAACAAUUGUUGCAACAUGAAGAAAUAGGAGGGAAGACUCAUGAUAGUGCUCAUGUGGAGAACCUAUCAGCACAAGGGACUCGAAAAGCUUCUCCACUAACUCAGGUAUAUAUGCCUUUUUCUAAGUUAAAUUUAUAAAAACAAUAUAUAAAAUAACUAUAAUGAAAGACUAAGGAUUACAAAAUAUGUUUUUACAGGUUUAUAAAUGCAAAUUAGCUCUUGAAACUGAAGAUAACAUUGUUGCAUAUGGAACUUAUUUACGAGAUUCACAGAUUUCCAUUGAUGGUGCUGAUAUAUUAGUGGUCAUCCUUUACCCUCUUCAACCUAAUGCACUUCUUCCAUUCCCACUUUCUGAAAACAUUAGGACAAUAAGGGAGGGUGUUGGAUAUGAGGUUUUGUGGCCUAUUGCAUUUGUGAUAAAUGAUGAUGAUGAGGUGAAUAACGUUAUACCCAAACUUUCAAAGUUGAGUUAUAUUUUCCUACACUCUUGGUUUCUUUAUUAAUCAUUUUAAUGUCAUGCAUCUAUUUAUGUGUUUAGGAUGUUGGCAAGAGGAAGAAUAAAAUGAAGAAGAUACAAGCAUCCCCAAAGAAAAUCAAAUAUGAGAAUCCUAGAGAUGUACAACUAUUUUCUAAAACAGUUUCAACAAUGUUGGAGGGUAAAUCGGCACCCAAAGUUGACUUUCCAAUCAAUGUUUUUGGGAUGAAAUUUCAAACUUUCCUCUUGACAAGUGAAAUGAAUGAUGUAAUUUCUGCAAAAGAGUUGACUAUGAAUUGCAUAUGUUUCUAUAUUUGGUGAGAUUUUGUUGUAAAUCUUUAUGUUACAUUCAUGAUAUAAAUAAGUAGAAGCUGUUUUUUUGUUAAGUAAUUUUAAAUUGGGUGAUAUUUCAUUAGGCGGUUGCAUGAACAUCUGGAUGAGACACUACAGGAGAAAAUUAUAUUUAUUCAUCCAGGAAUGGUGUCCAAGGCUGGAACAAUAGCCCCACAAAUUGAAAAAAGAGCAAGGUUCAUUGUUGAUCGCCUAAUUGACUCCAAAUUGGCAGACUUGGUUUUUCUUCCAUAUAACCCAAGGUAAGUUGUUAAUCAUAAUUGUUUUUAAUUUCUUAGCCUUAUAAAUGCUAUUUAUCUAAAUUAUAUGUUAAUAUAUUGUAGGUUUCAUUGGGUUUUGGUUGUAAUUGACCUCAAAUCACAAAUAGUCUACUAUUUAGACUCGCAAUUGCAACAACCAUACCAAGAUAUAAAAGAUAUUGUGAACAUGUAAGCCUACCAUAAUUUUAGUUUUCAUAUCUCAAAACGAACACUAAUGUAAUCUUAUUUUUUGUAGGGGGUUUCGAAUUUUUGUAUCUCAAAAGAAGAAAGGAUCUAAAAAAGAGCUCAAGUGGAUGGUUGUUGAGGUUACAUUUUUUUUUUUCUCCUAAACUUUUUGAAGACUUACCUACAUUUAAGUUGCUUUCUUGAAUGAAAAUUUACUUGAUUUUUGAAAUGUAAAGAUUCUAUAUGGCUUUCUCUCACAUGAAUAUAUACAUAUAUAUAUAUAUAUAUAUAUAUAUAUAUAUAUAUAUAUAUGAAUUUUCUUAGUUUAUAAUUGUUUUUGUUAUUAUUUCCUAUUUCUAACUUGAGUUGAGAAGGAUGCCAUAUAUGUUUGUUUCACUACCUUACGAAAAUAUAAUCUAAAAUGCUAUGAAUACAAUGUACUCAUAUGUCCAUUAUUCCACUAUUAAUUAAUGAAGUAGUACUAAAAAAGAACAAACCCAUUUUUUCAUGUGAUUGAAAGAUUUAUGAUCCAUUUUUACCUUCUACAAUUAAUAUUUCAAGAAAUAGUAAUAGAAACUAGAAGAAAAAUAGUAAAAUUUUUGUUAAAAAUGCAUGACUAGAAGACUUUUUUCAAUUGUAUUAUGAUGUGGAAGAUCAAACCUUAGAAAAUUCAAGCAUAAAAAAAAUUAAUAUAUACAUAAUUAGUCAAUUUGAAAUGUUGGUCAUAGGAAGAACAAUUAUUAAAUUUUGAUCACUAUAUCCAUAGCAUUUACAAUCCUUUAGAACAAUUUAGAUGUAUGUGUGGGUAAGGAAGCAAUGGGGAUCCUUUAGAUAGCUUUGAUCAUGUUACUUAGGUGUGAGUUGUUCUUUAUAUCUUUCUUUUAACCUUAGUAUGUCUUAUAUACAUCCUAUAUUUAGUUUAGAUGUUUCUUGUAAGGCACAACCUCUCUCUUUCUCUUUCUCUCUUUAAUCAAAACUCUUUACUCUUUUAUCCAUCUUCAAUCAAAUUGUUCAUAUGUAAAACAUUUAUUCCUUAUAAUUACUAAUUGCAUUUCUCUUCUAUAAUGUCAAUCUAUGAGAUGUAAAAUGAGGUUAAUACUACAUAUUUCCAAAUAUAUUAUCGAUAAUUGCUCUUGAAGCUUGAUUGAUUUACCUUAAUGAAGUCUUCAAAGUCAUGAUCUUUUCUAAGGGAUAUUCUCACAUAGACAAAAGUUAACUAUUAUAUUUUUUUAAAGUUAAUCACUAUUCUUAAUAAAUAUAAUUGAUCAUUACCUUUAUCUAUUCAUUUUUUUUUCUCCAUAUUUCACAUAUACAUGUUAUUGUACAUUCUUAUAUUUUACCUAAUUUAACCCUCCAAGUUGUAAACAUGGGAGCUUAAGGUAUUAUGCUAGACAUGUAUUGAGUAUAAUUUAGGUGCAAAUUUUACUUGAAACUAACAUUAUGUCAUUCAUUCUUUUUUUAAAUUUAAAAUGUGAAUGAUGAAAAAAUUGACCAAAUUUAUAUGAUGUCAUAUUUGAUUGUGAAAUUUUGUUGCUAUAAUUUUGCUCAUAGAGGCCCAAACAGUUGGAUGGUGUCAUGUGCUGAUAUUUUGUCAUGCGAUACAUGCAAGACAUAAUUGCAAAUAGAAGUCUCUUAACAUCUCAGGUUUAUCUGCCUAUGUAUUUUCAUAAGCACAUGAGAACUUAUACAUAUAUUUAAUGUUUCACAAUAACAUAUUUUCUCUUGUCAUAUAUUUUAGUUUGAAGGAAAAAAACCUAUUCACGAGCUAAGUUAGAUGAAGUGAGAUCUGAAUGGGUCUCAUUUUUUAGCACUCUUAUCUUAGACCAAGUAUAGUGGGUAUGUUAAUUUAUAAUUUUUUCAUAAAAUUUCAGACAUAGAUUUCAAUUAAUGUUGCAUCUUUUCUCUUUGCAAGGUUUCGGGUGACAUUUGCAGUUGUUGCAAUUUUGAGAUGACAAGAUCAUAUGUAAGAUCUUAUUGUCAUGCAUAGAUGCUGAAGUUUUGGAUACUUUUGGGUACAUACCUAUAUCUUUUAAAAGAUACAUUUGAUGAAAGUACUAAUUCAUGUUUUUUUUUUAUUAUGUAUGUUUGUUGGAUUCUUUUCGCAUAAAUUUUGGUACAUGUUAAUAUCAUUUUAGUAAAAUUUCAAAUAUAGACUUAAAGUAAUGUUUUUUUUUUUUUUUUUUUACUUGCAAGAGGUUGGGUGGCAUUUGUAGCACUUGCAAUUUUUAGAGUAUAAAAUCAUGUAUAAAUUCUUGUUAUCAUGCAUAAUUAUUUAAUUUUUGGUUCUUUUUUAGUAAAUAUCUUAUAUAUAUAUAUAUAUAUAUAUAUUUGAUAAUAGUAUAAGAUCAUGUAUACUUGUUAGGUUGUUUGUGGAUACAUUUUGAUAUAUUUAGGAUACAUAUUUAUAUCUUUUUAAUGAACUUUCAAACACAAAUAUAAAAUAAUGUUGUUUUUUUUCAUACUUGCAAAAAAUUAGGUGACAUGUUUAAUAUACAUUGGAUGUAGAUUUUAUGAAUAAAAAAUGAUACAUAAUCUAUCUAAAGCAGAUUUUACUUGGCUGUCUUAGUAAUGCUACAAAAUGAGUUUAAGCUUGCCUUUUGUUAAUCUUGCAGGUUCAUAGAAAUGUUAUCCAACAUAAAGGAAAGUGCCACUCUUCCUCUCCAUUGAAAUGGUGUUCACCAUGGAAGGAAAACUCCUCUCAUCAAUUAGUUUUUGGUUUGCCAAUGCCAUAACAAGUUAAGGUUAGCUCCUUGCUAGUGAUUAAAUUUGAGAUUUCAAAAUUUUCAAAGAUCGUAUCAACUUGAAUUUGGUUUAGGAGUUGAAUGUCUUAGUCCUACAUGGUAUGCAUUUUAAAUAACACAUCUUGUCUUUCAUUUCACAUCCAUGGAUUUGAGAUUGUAAACAUGUUAUCAAAAUCUAAAGCUGCAGUCCUAGAAGUUGUCCCAAACAACAAAGGGCACUCACAACCAAGUAAGUUGAAGAAUAAUCUUUCAAUGCAUUUCUUUUUGGUUAUUAAUGUGUUGUAGUACAAAUUAAGGUCAUAAGAUAAGUACAUUAUGAAUUUUGUAUAUACAAACAAUGGUCUUUGCUGAUCUGAUAAGAUGUCUUAUUUGUUGCACACCAUCAUGUUAUUACUACAGAUCAUUCUUCUUCUUUGUUAUAAUAAAAUAGGAUCUCUUUCAAAGAUGGAAAGGUCAAUUCACCUCGAAACUUUCUUGCUAGUACCCACUUCGAGGUUGUUCAUAAAAAUCAAAUGACUCUCUUCAAUCCCCCAUUUGUAUAUGGUUUUCUCACCUUUUGGACUUCAACUGCUUCUCAAGUGCCAUCUUCUAAGUCAUAUAUCAAGCAAUCUAAAUCAGGAACAUACCUUGAUUCCUUCAUAUGCCCAAUCAAAUUUUCCAGAACUUGAUAUAUCCCCUCUAUUUUGGGGCCCACCUCAUCCCCAACAACAAACUAUAGACAUGAUUUCCUACCUCGACCCAGCAACUACCAGUCUCCUUCUUAUUUCCCAUUUUUUUCAUCAACUUUCUCAGUCUUACAAACUCCCCCACUUACCAUCAACUGCAUAUAUAUUUGAUAGCAUCACAUAAGUCCCUGCCAUAUUAGGCCUCAAAUCCAAUAUCCUGUGAGCAGCUAAUUUUCUGGAAUUGGGAAACCUGUGUGCUUUACAAGCUCCAAGAAAUGGCCCCCAAACGCACUCAUCAGUCUUGAAUGGCAUGCUCUCUAUGAGUUCAUAAGCUUCCUCAACUUUCCCAACACGUCCUAGCAAAUCCACUUCACACCCAUAAAUCUCCUGGUCUAGACUAAUGUUAUAAUCACCCACCAUUAAUUUAAAAUAUCUCAAGCCUUCAUCUACAAGUCCAGCAUGACUGCAAGCACUAAGAAUGCCCAUAAACAAGACUCAGUCAGGCUUAAUAUCUGACCUGACCAUCUUGUCAAACAAUUCAACAACCUCUUCUCCAUACCCAUGAGUCCCAUACCCAAUCAUCAUGGUAGUCCAAGAAACCAAAUCUCUAUGAGACAUACCCCCAAAAACUUGGUGUGAAUAAACAAUAUUUCCACAUUUGGAAUACAUGUCUAUAAGGACAUUAGACAAGGCCAAAUUCCCAUCAAGGCCUCUUCGAAUAAUCCUCCCAUGAAUCUGUUGUCCACAAUUCAAAAAUGCUAAGGUCAUGCAGGCAGCCAUAAUGCUGGUAAAUGUGAAGCUAACUAAGAUAAGAAGAAAUAACAUGUAGGAUAAAUCACUCAAAGAGGGUAUAUCCGAAGUCUCAGAAGAAUUUGACACUGGUCGGAUAAAUUUUAUACUUAAACUGAAUAUAGAAUGUCUACCCACCUGGUUUGAGUGAAGAUCUAAUGUCCCUAAAAGAGAAAGUGCCCCAAUCUCUGCUGGUAGCAAAGACAACACGUUAUUCUUGAAACUUGAAGCCACGACAAUUAGAUGAAUAUCAAAUAUAAAAAGAUUUAAAAUGAAAGAAAAUCUACGUACACCAGACACUCCCAAAUAUCUAAAAUUUUUUGCUACAAGGAAUGAGAAUAUGACCCCAUAUAAAACUCUGCAAGGGAACAACAACCCUUUAUUGAUGCUGGUAUUGAUGAAAUUCCUGCAUAACUCAGAUGCACAUGUUUCAUUAGAAGAGUUGAGAGAAAAUAGUUAAGAUAAAAGAGUAUACUUAAAAACCACUAUUAAUUCCUCUAAAAAUUUACAUACGUACUGGAAAAACCUUGUAGAGACUAGAUUCACUCACUGUUCUGAUGAAAGUCAAGACGAAUGAGACGUGAAAGCCUUCUAAUAUUCUCUGGCAAGCUAGUCAACAAGUUUCUUGCUGUGAAAAUAGCAAGCAAACACAGUUUUGAGAAUACUUUAAGUAUAUUUAAACAAAGAAUCAGAUAUUGGUGGCAUCAGAUAAAGGACUAUUUACAUGUCUCAGUUGGAUUGGAUCUUUCAUAUCCCGCGAUCAAGGUGUUCCAUGUGAUCAAAUCCCUUUGAUUCAUUUCAUAGAAAUAUCUAUUUGCUUCAGAGAAACAACUACACCUGCAAUACAUGUCUAGUAUAGAAUUCAUGACAGGAAGAUUGGAUUCAAACCCAUGUUUAGUCACUGCUGCAUGCAGUUUUGGACUAAUUGAAUCGAGUUUCUCACUAUGAGUGGAAUUGGAUGAAAAUGAGUGGUAGAUAGUAGUCAUGAGUGGAUACAUCUAGUGUUCUAAUCUUAGUUCAGAACUAUGUUUUGGACUAUUUGAUAAUAGUAUAAGAUCAUGUAUACUUGCUGGGUUGUUUGUGGAUACAUUUUGAUAUAUUUAGGAUACAUAUUUAUAUCUUUUUAAUGAACUUUCAAACACAAAUAUAAAAUAAUGUUGUUUUUUUUUCAUACUUGCAAAAGAUUAGGUGACAUGUUUAAUAUACAUUGGAUGUAGAUUUUUUUUCAUUGAAUUUUUAAUAAACUUUAAAAAAUAAAUAUAAAAUAAUGUUACUUUUUUCUUUCUUGCCAAAGGUUAGGUGACAUUUGCAGUGCUGUAGUUUUUAGAGGAGAAGAUCACGCAUAAAUUUUUGUUAUCAUGUACAACUACUUGAUAUUUGGUUAUUUUUGGGUAAAUAUCUAUUCUUUUUUCAUAUAUAUUUGACAAGAUAACAAGAUUUUAUAUAGUUGUUAGGUUGUUUGGGAAUAUAUUUGGAUACAUGUUUAUAUCCUUUUAUUAAUCUUUCAAAUAUAAACAUAUAUUGAUUUUUUUUUCUUACUUGCAGAAGAUUUGGUGGCAUUUGCAGCAAUUACAGCACUUUUGAAGGCACAAGAUCAUGGCUACAUUAUAUUUAUCAUGUAUAACUAUUGGAUUUUUGGGUACAUAUUUGCCUUUUUUUAGAUGUAUGUGAGAUAAUAUAAGAUUAUGCAAGGAUAUUAAGGUUUUUUUUUUUUUUUUUGUCAAUAUAUUUGCCUACAUGUUCAUAUUUUUUUUAAAGUAUAUUUUAUACAUUCAUGUACUUUAUAUAUAUAUAUAUAUAUAUAGACACACACACAACAGGUUCAAUUUUGAUGCAGAUUAUUUGGGUAACAGGUUAGGUUGUUGACAUGUUCCAUAUGCAACCUUGAUAUGAAAUAAAAUAAUUUCCUUUAUAUGAAUAAAGAAAUCUUGACAUAAAAGAAAUUGUAUUCCUUGACAUAAGAAUAAAAGAACCUUAACAUAUUAAAAUUUCAACUUUGAAAAAAAAAAAAUAACAAAAAACAUCCUUGACAUAUGUGUAAAUUAAAUUUAAAAGCAUAUAAAACAACAUUGACAUAUAUCAUACUUAAGCUUAACAUAUAUUGAAUAUAAUCUUGAAAAAACAAUGAGUUAACCUUCACAUAUGUUUAACCUAACCUUGACUAAAGUGGAAGAAACGUUUUAACAUAUGUCAUAUUAAUAAGAUUCCUACAUUGAUAGAAAUAAGGUCUACUUAACAUAUGCAUAUGUCAAGCUAGCUUUUAUCAUUUCUUGACACUGGCAUAGACGACAUAUGUGAAUACUGAUCUACCUUAACAGAUAUACCUUAUCUUGACGAUGAAAAACUGUCAAUGAAGACCUUUUUUCUUGUAGUGAAGGACACCAAUUAGCAAUAAAACACUCAGAAGAUAUUCAAAAAAGAAUUUUAACAAUAACCUCAGAAUUAGGUUCACAACCACCCUUAAAUAAUCAUCAAUUCAAUUUUGAUAAUAAUUCAAUUUUUGCAUCACCCUUCAAAAUUCCAAGAACUAAAGAUGAAUAAAGUCCCAUAAUUUAAAAAGAUAUUAGACAAGUUCAACAACAAUUAAAUUAUACAAAUCAUUCUCUUCAACAUUUAAAUCAACAAACAACAAAAAUUUCUCAAUUUUUGUUUUCUUCUACCCCAAGAGGGAGGAUAGGAGAAACAUCAUCAAAAUUAAAUUUUUCUUCAAAAGUUUCUUCAACUUUAUCAUCAUCAUCAUCAUCAUCAUCUUCUAAGUCUCUAGAUCAACCUUUCAUUAUUCCUAUAAAUGCUGCAAAAUCAAAUAUUCAAUUAGCAACACCAACAGAAACAAUGUUAAAAGAAAUACAACUUAGAUUAGAUAAACUUAAUAUUAAUGGUAUUAAUCAAAAUAAGAAUCAAAUUCAAACUAUAACAAAAGAAAAAUAAGAAAUUAAUAAAAUAGAAGAAUAAUUCAAAAUGUCUCCUGAUUCAAUAGUAAAACCCCUUACAACAGUCAAUGCAAUUUCUAAUAAUUUUGUAAGUAGAAAAAAUUAUUAUUCAAAACCCUCUUUUCCUAAUGUCCAAUUAGAAGAAAGAAAUUAUCAAUUAGCUGCUAGUUAUGAUGGUAGUAGUUUUUAUGAAUGGAAUAUAGAUGGAAUGAGUGAACAUCAAAUAAUCAAUUUGCUUCAUGAAAUGAUGAUGGCUGCUAAUGCUUAUAGAAUCAAGACUAGUAAUUCUGACUUUCAUGCUGUCAGUGCCUUGGUCAUAGGAUUCACUAGUUUGCUUAAAGAUUGGUGGGAUCAUUAUUUGAGUCAAAAUGAUAGAGAAUACAUAUUAAAUGCAAAAAAAGACAAUAAUCAAAGAAGAAGGAACAUCAGUUCAAACUUAUGAAGAAGAUGUUAUCAAUACUUUAAUAUUUGCAAUAACAAAACAUUUUGUAGGAGAUCCAAUCCAUUUUCAAGAACGAACCUCUGAAAUCCUCAACAAUCUUAGAUGUCCAACACUUCAAGAUUUUAAGUGGUAUAAACACAUGUUUUUAGUCAAAGUUAUGUCAAGACCAGAUUGUGGAAGUCAUUCUUGGAAAGAAAAAAUUAUAUCAGGAUUACCCACUUUAUUUGUAGAAAAAGUUAAACAAAGAAUAAGAAAUAUUCACAAUGGUAGAGUUCCUUAUGAGUCAUUAACAUAUGGAGAAUUAAUUACUUUUGUCAAUAAUGAAGGUUUAACACUUUGUACAGAUAUGAAAUUAAAGAGUCAAAUGAAAAAAGAAAAACAAGAUAGUAAAAAAGAAUUAGGAAAAUUUUGUUCAUAUUAUGGUAAUGAUACAAUAGUUGCCCCUUCAAAAAGAAAAAAUAAACAAAAUAAUAUAAAAGGUAAAAAAAACCCUCAAUAGAGUCAAAAUUCCAAAAGAAGUUUGUAAAAUAUACUCCUAAUAAAUCAAAAUCUUCAAAUAAAUCAACUUUAAAAAAGAAAACACCUACAUGUUAUAAAUGUCGAAAAGUAGGUCAUUAUUCAAAAUAUUGUCAAUUAGAAAAUAAGAUCAAUUCAUUAGAAAUAAGUAAUAAACUAAAAAAUUUAAUGAUAGAAUUAAUGAUUGAUAAAGAAAAUGGAGAAUCAAGUGAAAAUUAUAAAUCAGAAGAAGAUAAUUAAAUCUUGAUAACAUAAGAAAUAUCAAGUGAAGAGUCAAGUCUAGAAGAAGAAUCCGAUAAUAAAAAAGAUUGUGACGGUAUUUGUGCAUGCUCAUAUAAAUCAAUAAAUGUGAUUUCAAAAAAUUCAAAAACUUCCUUUAAUUUUCUUAUUCGCAAUUAUGUGCCCCUCAUGAAUUCAAUAUAUUUUCAAUUUUGGUAUGCUAAAGACAAACACAUUAGAUAUCUGCUUUAUGCUUCAAAAGAGGUACUAAAAUCUUAUUUUUCUCUACAAAUGGAGCAAUAACGAAUUAAGUUUGGGAAAUUUACUCUUCCAGUAUUUCCUAAAAGUAAUCUGUCCUUUUGGAUUCAUAAAUAUAUAUAAGGUUUAGACAGAUCACAAAAAUGCAUUUUAGACAACCUCUAGAAUGCAAAAAGUGAUGUUCAAAAGUUAGAAGCUUUAAAUGUUUUAUCUUUUCAUUUUAAAUAGAUAAAUAAUAAUUUAGACAGUUUUUCUAACCCUUCAAGUUCUGAUAUACAUUGCAUCCCUAUAGAUACAGAUCUUGAAAGCUUUAAUUGUAGGAAAAUUGCAAAAGAAUCUAAAGCUACAUUUUCAAAAUCUUUUCAAAAAGAAUUUCAAAAUGAAUUUUCAACACUUUCUGAUGAAAGCCUAGAAUGUCAACUUUCAAGAUUUUCAUUUUUCAAGCAAAAGAUUUUACAUCUUCCUCAAGAAGUUAGAUAGACAAUCAGUCAAAAGGUUCAAGCUACAAGGGAAGCAAAGUAAGAGCAUAUCAUGAAAUUGCUUGUUGACUGUAGCACUUUUGGAAUUAUUAUUCAAGGGAUGAGUUUUACUUGGAUUUCUCACUAUGACAACACUUAUAAUGAUUGUCCAAAAAUUGAUCCCUUGCGUAAGGAAAUUCCAUUAGAAAGGUAUGACUGUAAGUGUGCUCUUACUUACAGUAUUUGCAAAGCCAACAUUGACUUAGACAGUUAUAAGUCAAUAGUCAUCAAAUUCAAUAAUGAGUCAAUAGAGUUAACUCCAUCUCUCCUCAUGGAUUAUGGAGUUCUUUAUCAACUAAUUUUCUCUCAUCCUGAUCAAACUGACAGAUUUGGAAGAAAAUUAGCAGUUUGUAUUUUAAAUGUCUUCAUCAAAGAUUUCAAAUCAGUUGAACUCAUUAUAGAAAGCAAGCCUCUUGAAUGGUCUACUGAUGGAAGAGUUUACUCUACUCAACAUUUCAUACUGCUCAAAGCCAAUCAGAGAAAAUAUCAGUUGUUUGGUAUAGAGAUCCCUUGGCUCUGUACUAAAUUUGGCAUCAAAAAACAAAUCAGACAUUGGAGAUCAAGAAUGAUUGCAAGAGACCUUGAUUUUGAGAUUUAUAGUUCUUCUAACUAUAAUCUCGUUACUGAAGACAAUAUUCAAAAAAUCAUCUUUACAACUAAUUUUCCAAAAGUCCCUCUUUUGUUUCAAACUCAAUUUACUUAUCUUGUUGAUAAGUACAAAAAGGAGUAUGUCUUCGAAAAUGAAGUCCGACAAAAUUUUGAAAAAUAUCUCUUAGAAAUGCUUAGGGAAGAGAUAUCCAAAAUCUUUUGUACAACUGUAUCUUUGUAUAUUUGUGUCUUUGUAUUUAUCUAGUAAAAAAAAAAAAUUGUGAGAAGUAUGUAAAAAAAUGAAUUGUGAAGAAUGUAAAAAAAAAAAAAAAAAAAAUUAUCAUCAUUAUUAUAAACUUCCUCAAUCCUAUUUCUAAUGACUCAAACUAAGAGAUUGAUUACCCUAUGCAUUGUAUUUAGGAACUUAAUUGUAGUAAGGGAAGAGAAACAACUUAUAUUCAUAUGCAUAGUUGGAGGGUCUAAAAAUAUGCCGCUUACUAUAACAUGAUUCAAACAUUUUAGUAAAAUCUGCGUCCAACAAAACAACAAUUCAAUUUCUUUUGUAAAUUUAAAUCAUUAUUUCCAAUUCAAGAAUUUAAGAAAUCAUAUAAUAAAAUAUAAGUAUAAAAAGAUUAAUUGCUAACAAAUAUGUACCUAAAUGGAGAUGGCCUUACAUUAUGUUGCAAUGAAAUUCAUCUUACCUUAUUUUUGUAUGAUGGUUGUUAUUUUGAAACCACAUCACCCUCUGCAAAAGAGUUGAAUUCAUUGUGAUGAUAAUCAUAACACACCAAAAAUACAAUGAAAUAAAAAUAAAUAAAUACAUAAACAAGGAAGAAAAUAAAGGAAAAAUAAUGGGAAGUGAUGUAAGAUAUUUCACCUUUUCAACGAUGAACUCCAUUUGUUUCCAUCUUCCUUUUAAGACGAGCCACAUUCACUGCAGUGAAAACAUAUAGCCUAUCUCUGGUUUCAUCAAUGAACCGAAAAUAUGCCUGCCUCCAAGACUUCUUUAGAGCCAAACUACCACAUACAGCCCAAAAUCCCACCGGAAAGCCCAAUCCCAUGCUUAUGAAGAACCAUGACAUGUCCCAUUCACCUUCAUCUUCCUCCUCAUCUUUGUGAUCUUGAUCAUUUAGAGUGGAGCAGUUGGUUGACAAUGGAGGCCCAUAAAGUCCUGGGUUCGCCUCAUAAAUGGAUGGAUCAUUGAAUGUCGAGAACUGGUUGGUUGUUGGAAUUGGUCCUGACAGGCGGUUAUGCGAUAGGUUCAAAUGGUUCAAUGAGGUUAUAGAAGACGUGCUCGGAGGAAUUGGGCCUGACAGGCAGUUCCAUGAGAGGUCAAGAGUUUCUAGCCCUUGCAUGGCUCCAAUCUUCUCAGGUAUCUUUCCAGUCAACUGGUUUCGGGACAAAUUCAAGGCACCCAGGGUCGAGAGAUUUGUGAUCUCUUUUGGGAUCUCUCCCCAAAUGUUAUUGCUAGAAAGAUCUAUCAAAUUCAAAAUUGGCAAUAUGCUAUCAAAUUCCAUAUUUUGUCCCUUUACAACUAGCUCCAUGCUCUCCGAAUAGGAGCCAUGAGAUUCGAGGUUGUCAAAAUUUCUGUUUAAUAAGGCCACAAAACUUAAAGCAGUUAAAUUGCCUAAGCAUUGUGGGAUGAAUCCUGAUAAAUUGUUCACUGCAAGAUCCAAAAUGUGGAGAUGAGAAAGCCAACACAAUUGCUCAGGAAUAUCUCCCGUCAACAUGUUGCCUCGUAGACGCAUCUGCUCCAGUGAUGGCAUUCUUUCUCCAAUCCAUUUGGGUAUCUCACCCGAAAACCUGUUAUUCCCCAGAUCAAGGGAGGACAGCCCUGUGCAGUUUUGUAAACUUGGAGUGAGUUCCCCAGUAAGAUUGUUGUCACCCAAUAUCAACUGAGUAAGUGAAGAUUUUGAACACAUCCAACUCGGAAUCCCACCAGACAGUUUGUUCUUGGAUAGGUCUAUGGUGUCAAGAUGCUGCAAAUCACUCCAAUUCUUUGGAAUCUUUCCAGAUAAUUGAUUGUUUGAGAGAUCAAUUACUCGCAAAUCCUUUAGUUUACUCAUUGAUGAAGGAAUGCUGCCAUUUAACAAGUUACUAGAAACAUCGAGGACUUCCAAACUUGAUAAGUCCCCGAUGUUCAAGGGAAUUGGACCUGAAAAUGAAUUGUUUCCGAGAAAGAGCCAUGUCGCAUUAAACCAAAGUGGUAAUCGGCCCACCAAGCGGUUGAAGCUUAAAUCCACCAGGACUGAUGCUGGGCUAAAGGAUAAUGAGUUGGGAAGCUUUCCAUACAAUUGGUUUCUAGAAAGAUCUAACCACAAAAAAUAUAGUUUCCAAAGCCAUUCUGGUAUUGUAUCUGAAAUCCCCACAUUUUUUAGGGUUAUGAAGUGAAGUCUUUUUUGAGUUCUAAUCCAGUUAGGGAAUUUGAGAGAUACAUUGCAGUUGGAAAUAUCGAUAGACAUGAGACUGAAGGGAGGAAUCCAUUCAGGUCUCACAUGAAAACGGAAAGACUGCUUUGUGGGUGAUAAGUGUGAAGAGAAAUAUUCCAGUUUUGUAAGAUUACUGAAAUGAAUUUCAGACAUUACCCCUUCCCAAGAAUUCCAAUUAAGAUACAACACAGUCAGCUCUCUAAGUUGUCCGAUACUUUUUGGAAUCGUCCCAUUCAUUAGAUUGUUUGACAAGUCAAGUCUCUUCAUCCGCAGCAAGUUUCCAAUCCAUGUUGGAAUUGGACCUGAGAUGGAGUUUUCCCUCAGAUUAAGACUCUCUAAGUUGGUAAGGUGUUGAAUUGAAUUGGGGAAGGGACCAACAAAACUAUUAUAGCUCAAGUCCAGGGAUUUUAAAUUCUUAAAGAGCCCUAAUGAAUCUGGCAACUGACCACCGAAUCGAUUACCACCCAAGUGUAACCGUUCCAAGGAAUUAUUAGCGCAUGUCGAUAAACCAUUCACCAAUUCAAUUCCUUCACUUCCAAUACUAGCAUCAUUUAAAUAAAGAUCCGUGAGGGUGCUGAUGUUAAACAACCAGCCAGGAAAGGUAGUGCUGAGAUUGUUGUGGGAGAGGUCAAUGACCAAAAGAGAAGUCAAAUUAACAAACGAAAUGGAGUGAGGGAAGUCACCGAGUUCACAAUGGGACAAAUGUAAUUCUAACAAAAAUGGAAGCAUGUUUACAGCUUGCAUCCAAUUUGUGGUUGCUUUACUAAGGUUCACAUUCCCCAGAUCAAGGUAUUUUAAAGAAGAAAGACCAGAAAGCCAAUUCAAAUUAUGAACCCUCAUUAAUGGAGCACGAGAGUAGUAAUCUCCACUAAGAUCAAGAUAACAUAACUGUGACAAAUUUCCAAGAUGGGGAGGAAUCAUUCCACCAAAUGCUGCAUGAGAGAGAUUAAGGUAUCUCAACCUUUCAAAUGAGCCCAAGAAAUUUGGAAUUGGAAUUCCUUGAAAAUCAUUAAAACUUAGGUCCAAGUAAUUUAAAUGUUUCAAGUCAAGUAAGGAAUCACUUAUCUCACCACCCAAACCACCAUAUUUGAGGUCAACCUUGACAACAUGCCCUGUUUGGUUGUUGCAAUCCACACCUUUCCACUUGCAGCAAUCUGCACCAACCCAGGAAGAAAGCGUACGUGAAGGUUCUUUCAGUCCAUUUUUGAAUUCUAGAAGCGCUUUCCGCUCUACCUCAAUGCAGCCCUUGUUCAUACCACCAUCAAUGGAAUUGAUAAUAGUAGCUUGAGCUAGGAGAAGCUCGAGAAACAGAGAAAGGAGAAAAAGAGUAAGAAGUAGAAGGGUGGUUUUCCAACUUGCCAUUUGAUGAAUGCAAAGUUGCAAAGUUAUUAGUGGGUGCUAUAUAAAUAAUUUUGGUCUAAUUUAGUCAACUAUUUUAAGUCUUUUGGCCGCCAUAAAUAUAGAAGAAAUUAUCAAGUUCAAUCACAAUCGGAUCACAUAUCUCUUCCAUCCCUGAGUAAAUUAAUUCAAGACACUAAUUACCAAGUUUUUGGUCCAAAGAAAAAAAGAAUUUUUUUUAUUUCUAAUUUACACUCAUCUAAUUAUUAACUAGAAUAAAAAAUUUCAAUUAAUUAAAAAAAUAAAAUUUAGAUUUUAAUAUUUUUCCCAAAUUAAAAAUUCAAAACUUAAUAAAUUAAUCUCAACUAUGUUAUUCAUAAAUCCCAAGAUAGGUUACAUAAAGAUAAGUUUUAAUUAAGAAAAUUUCUAACAUUUUAUUAACUACUAAGUAUAAUUAGAAAUCCUAAUUAUUAUGUAAUUAUCAAUUUUCUACUAAUUAUAUAAUUAAUUAUUAUGAAAUUUUAUUAUACUAAUAAAUUAUGAUAUUUUGGUAUAUUUUAAAAUAUAUUAAAUUACCAUUUUUAUAUUAUUAAUUUUAAAAUCAAAAUAAAAAAUAUAAUAACUAAUUUUUAGAUAUUUUUAACAUGUGAACAUAAAUAAGUAUAACAUUUUAAACAUUAAUAAAAACAAGCAAUAUAACACUUAAUAAUAUUUAUAUAAUAAUAAGAAAUAAACAACCUAAACACUUAAUCAAUCUACUAAAUUUAAGUCAAAGUUCCGUCUAUUCAAAUAUAUAUAUAUAAAAAAUUAAAUACCAUCUUACACUUAUUAUACAUUACUCAAGCCAUUUAUAUAUGUAAUAAAGAAUUUCAAUAUAUAUAAAUUUUUAAAUAAUUUUCAUGAUAUUUUAUUUUCGUUUAUAGGCUACAAUCAACAUGGAGGAGGAAGCUUCAAGUAGCUUUCUUCAAUUAUUUAAAGUUAGUGACUGUCCAUAGAAGAAAAUUUUGACACGAAACUAAAAAGAAAAACAAUUUUCACACAAGUCUAAAAAUGUCUUUUAGAGAAAAUUAAUACAUCAUGUAUUAAAACAUUAUUUGAAUUUCUCCUCUUCUUGAUUGUUUUCUUAGACAAUGACUUCAAGGACUUUUGUGACAUGUUGAAUGUUGACUGUUGACUAUUGACUAUUGACUAUUGACUUGUCUAUUUGGUGUGAGGUAGGAAAAAAACAAGAAGUUGCAUUUUUUUGAAUGAAAACAUUUAUUUUUUCUAAAUAAAAAAUUCUUUUUUUUAAAUAAAAAAUUUCCUUAUUUAACCAAACCGAUUUUAACCAAUUCAUUGUAGCCUAAUUAGUUAUGUUGACUGUUGUUGACUAUUGACUAUUGACUAAAACAAAGUCCUUGUCAAUUUGGUGUGAGUUAGGAAAAAAAAAGGAAGUUGCAUUUUUUUUUUAAUGAAAACAUUUAAUUUUUCUAAAUAAAAAAUUCUUUUUUUUUUUAAAUAAAGAAAUUUCCUUAUUUAACCAAACCGAUUUUAACCCAUUCAUUGUAGCCUAAUUAGUUCUGUUGACUGUUGACUAUUGACUGAAACAAAGUCCUUAUCAAUUUGGUGUGAGUGAGGAAAAAAAAAGGAAGUUGCAUUUUUUUUAAUGAAAACAUUUAUUUUUUCUAAAUAAAAAAUUCUUUUUUUUUAAAUAAAAAUUUUCCUUAUUUAACCAAAUCGAUUUUAACCCAUUCAUUGUAGCCUAAUUAGUUCUGUUGACUGUUAACUGAAACAAAGUCCUUGUCAAUUUGGUGUGAGUUAGGAAAAAAAAAAGAAGUUGCAUUUUUUUUAAUGAAAACAUUUAUUUUUUCUAAAUAAAAAAUUCUUUUUUUUUUAGGUAAAAAAUUUCCUUAUUUAACCAAACCGAUUUUAACCAAUUCAUUGUAGCCUAAUUAGUUCAGUUUUUCAUUUAAAGACGUUUGGUUUAGCUUGUAAAAAAAAAAAAAAAACACAAGGUUAAAUAAGUGGUAUUUAUUUUUUUGUCUAAAAUCUGAAUGGAAUAUUAUUAAGUAUUUAGGUCAUUUAUUUUUUUUAUUAAUGCUAAAUAUUUUUAAGUGUUAAAUUACUUGUUUUUAGUAAUGUAUAAAGGCUUAAAAUUAUUUAUUUUUACACAUUAAAAUAACUAUAAAAUUAGUUAUUAUUAUUAUUAUUUUAAAAUUAAUAAUUUAAGAAAUAGUAAUUUAAUAUAUUUACAACUAUCUCAAAAUAUUAUAAUUCAUAACCAAAACAAAAAUUAUAUAAUAAUUAAUUAUGUAAUUUAUAGAAAAUUAAUAAUUAGAUAAUUAUUAGGAUUUUUAGUUAUGCUUGGUUGUUAAGAAAAUGAUAAAAAUUUUCUAAGUUAAAAUUUAUUUUUAUUUAAUAUAUUUUCAGAUUUAUGAAUAUUGUUGAGAUUAAUUAUUAAUUUUUUUCUUUUAAAUUUGGGAAAAAUAAGAAAGACUAAAAUUUUAGUUUUCAAAAUUAAUUGGAAUUUUUUUUUAUUCUAAUGAAUAAUUAGAUAAGUGUAAAAUCAAGGACAUGAACGACCCCAAUUUUUUAUAAUGACUAAUUAUUCAAAGUGUAGAAACAUAAUAAUUAGAUAAUUAUUAGGAUUUCUAAUUAUGCUUGGUUGUUAAAAAAUUUCUAUGUUAAAACUUAUUUUUAUAUAACUAUCUUCAAAUUUAUGAAUAUUGUUGAAAUUAAUUUAUUAAUUUUUAUUUUUAAUUUGGGAAAAAUGUAAAAGUCUAAAUUUUGCUUUUUAAAUUAAUUGGAUUUUUUUUAUAUUUUAGUUAACUAUUAAAUGAGGGUAAAUUAGAAAUCUAAGUUCAAGGACAUUGCCAACCAAACUGACUUCAAACCUAACCAAUCUAAUCUUAUUACUUUUUAUUUCCAUUUAAACAUGUUUGUUUCUAUUUAAAAAAAAAAAAUUGAUUACAUUGGUUUAGUGUUCAUGUACCAAUCAAAGCUAAACCAAUCGAAUUUAUCUAUUAUUUAUCAAAAAAUUAAAAAUAAAAAUGAUUACAUUGGUUCAGUAUUCAUUUCAAAACAACGAACCAAUAGAAUCUGAUAUAAUCGACUUAAAAUGUGCAAAUUUUGAAUUUUCAAAAUUUGAAGUUAUUUUUCAACUUCAUAUUUUGCAUCUCAUAAUUUACUAUAAAUUUAUGAAGUUAUUUUUUAAAAAUAUUUUAUUUUUUCAAAAUAAAUUCACUAAAUAUUAUCUCACUUGUAUUUGUGGUUCACUAAAUUUUUAAUAAUCAAAUUAAUAAAUUUAUAAAAGAAAAAUAUUAUAUUUUCUCCAUUUUGUUCACUUGAUAAACAUAUCUACAAAAAUGUCAAGCGGGUGUUUGAAAUUUACCUAUUUUUUUUGUUGUGUAAUAUUGAUUGUAUUUAUAAAGCAUUAUAAAUCCCAAGAAAGUCCACAGACACAUAAAUUAUUAUGAAUGAAAUGAAAUUAUUAAUUUAAAUUUAGUCUUUAUAGUGAAAAGUUAAAAUAAGCGAAAUGAAUUUGAAGUAGUUUAUAAAAAUCAUUUAUUAAUUUUAAAUUUAUGUUAUAUUUUUCUUCAUUUAUUCUUUCAUUUUAUUUUUUAUUUUUUUUUUGUAUUUUUUUUCCUUGUAUUUUCCCCAAAUUUUGUCCAAACCAAACAUAAACUUGGAAAAUAUGUCAAACCAAUACUUAGUGUUUGAGACUUAGAAAUUUUUUUAUAAGGAUUGGAUCAAGAUUCAAUCACGAUUAGACCACACAUAGCCCUUUUGCCCAUCCAAGAAAAAGAAAAAAAUAUUUUAUUUAUUUCUUUUUGUUAGCCCAAGGGUUCUCCUAAUCGGGUUUUGAUGAUAAUAAACCAUGGUUAAGUGACUAAUUGUUUCAAAUGGUAAAGAAUCUCAGGUAUAAUUUCGGAAAUUCAUACAAGGGCCAAAUAGAUACAAGACCGAGACUAUUGGAAGUCCCUUGAUCAUAGGAAAUGAAUGUAAGAUGCAUGGGUGCACUUAAGGUUUUCAUACCAUUUCAUGCAUCUUUGAAAAACUCAGUUUAUCCUUUAAACUUUCAAAUUCAUUCAAACCCGAUCUUUAUCAAAUGUACCUUAGGCAAAAAAUUUUAAAACUUGCAUAUUUAUUCACCUAAAGACCUUGCCUAAGUAGUAGAAAAGAAAGGAAUUUAAAAAGGAAGGUUUUCGGGGCCAAAAGGCUCAACCGGUCGAGGCUAUGGCCAACCGGCUCAAUCGGUUGGGGAACCGGUCGACUGGUUGCCCUUGUUCGAUCGAGGUUCGGUCGAAGAGUGUCAAAAACACUCUCUCUCAUCCAGUAGCCUUCUCUUCCCGGGUGAGGUUCAUACCGUUCCCGGUUGAGGUCCGGUCGAGGUAACGGUAACCUGUCAAAGCAUUUAAUGCCCAACGGCUAGUGAUCCGGUCAACCCCUAACUCUACUGAUCGAGGGUACCUUUUGCUGUUUUUGACUCCCGAGCUUAGAAACCUAUAAAUUGAGAGCUCUACUUCAUUUAUGAAAAAGAGAACACUUGCAAUCAAUUAUCCACCUACCUGUUCUUGAUCAAAAAGCUCUCAUUUCCUUCUUGGUGCAUUAAAUCAUCAUUUGCAUACUCCUUAGUGCACCUUUAUAAGUCAUCCUAACCUUGUUUUGUAUUCGAUCUAUCUUUGAGCUAGGUUGAGUGUUUUAUUCUUGUAAAAGUCAAGUGUUUAAGCCUUCAAGAGGUGUGAUUUUUGAAGAGAUUGUGUAAGAGCCCAUUGAAGUCGGAAUCCAAGUGUAAGAAGAUUAGAAGCUUGGUUGAAACUUCAAGUUAGUGGAACCCUCACUUGAUUAGGAGAUUGAGGAGAGUGGACGUAGGGAAGGAAGUGCCGAACCACUAUAAAACCCGAGUUUGAGUUCUCUAACUCUAUCUCUUUACUUUCAUUUAUAUUGUGCUUGAACUUGUUGUUAUUGAAAAGAUUUUUUAAAAACCCAAUCCACCUCCCUCUUGGGUGUUUUUCUUAAUUAAGCAUAGCCUUUAUUUUCUCAAUUGGUAUUAGAGUUAGACCUCUUGUUUAAGACCUAAUAGUCUAAGAGGAAAUGGCUAUUCCAUCAAGCUCUUCUCACACUGAAAUUUUUGCAAAACAUAGAGCUCCAUUCUUUACGGGAACCGAUUAUCUCUAUUGGAAAACCAAAAUGACUUGGUUUUUACAAUCAACCGAUUUAGAUGUAUGGGAUGUCAUUGAAGAUGGUUCAACUUUUCCUACUAAGCUUGUUGAUGGAGUUUUAGUUCCAAAACCCAAGCAAGAAUGAAAUGAGCUUGAUAGAAGAAAUUUUCAAUUAAAUGCUAAGGUUGUUUUUACUUUGCAAUGUGCUAUGGAUAAAAAUGAAUACAAUAGAAUUUGUCAAUGCAAAUCAACUAAAGAAAUUUGGAGAUUCCUUGAAAUAACUCAUGAAGGAACAAAUCAAGUAAAAGAGUCAAAAAUUAAUUUACUCGUUCAUAAUUAUGAAUUGUUUUCAAUGAAAGAAAAUGAGACUAUUGUUGAGAUGAUUACUAGGUUCACCGACAUUGUCAAUGGUCUUGAAGCUUUGGGAAAGACCUAUAAGGAAUCUGAGAAGGUAAUGAAGAUAUUGAAGUCACUUCCAUCAAAGUGGCAUACUAAAGUCACCGCAAUUCAAGAAGCAAAAGACUUGACUAAGCUACCUAUGGAAGAACUCAUAGGGUCAUUGAUGACAUAUGAGAUUAACUUGGCAAAGAAGCUUCAAGAGGGUGAAGACAAAAAGAAGAAGAGCAUAGCUCUCAAAGCUACAACCAAGGAAGAAGAAGAUAUUGAAGAAGAAAAACCAAGUGAGGAAGAUGAUGAUUUAGCCCUCAUCACAAGAAAGCUUAACAAAUACAUGAGGAAUGAAAGGUUUAGAGGAAGAAAAUUUACCUCUAGAAGAGACCUUUCUAAAAAGGAAUCAUCAUUUCAUGGUGACAGGAAGAAAUGGGAAAAAAAAAGAGACUUGGGGUGUUUCAAAUGCAAAAAACCGGAACACAUCAAAUAUGAUUGUCCUCUCUACAAAAGUGAAGCCAAGAGAAGAAUGAAAAAGGCAAUGAUGGCCACUUGGAGUGAUAGUGAAGAAUCCUCCAAAGAAGAAAAGGAGAAAGAAGUGACAAACAUGUGCUUCAUGGCAAUAGAUGAUCUUGAUGAGGUAAACUCUAACUUUAGUGAUGAAGAUAUGCAUGAUGUUUUUGAAGAAUUAUACGAGGAUUUUAAAAAACUUAGUUUGAAAAAUAAUUCUCUCAAAAAGAAAAUUCAAGAACUUCAAAAAGAACUUGAAGAAGUGAAAGAAAAAUUUUCAAUUGAUGAAAUAUCUAAAACUCAUCUUGAAAAAGAAAAUGAAAUUUUGAGAAGUGAAAAUGAGGUUUUAAAAAGGAAAAAUGAAUGGUUGACCUCUUCUCUUUCAAUUUGUUAUUGUGGACAAAAAUCCUUUGAAAUGAUCUUAACUAGCCAAAAAUGUGUUUUUGACAAAAAAAGGACUAGAAUUCAAAUCCUCAAAGAAUCAAAAGUAUUUUAAAAACUAUUUUGUAAAAGAAUCCUCAAGUACAAGUGUAGACCCUCAAUUUUGUCCCUUUAGCACACGUCUUUAAGUUCGUUUUCAGUGCUUCAAAAUAGUUCCUUGGUGGCCCAUGGCUACUCAUACCACUUACCUUUUUCUGAGUCACUUCGGAGAUUUUGGUUGAGGGAUUAUUUGAUCCCUUAUUGUGACCCUUGGCAGCCCUAACUUAGACUUAGGCUUUUCUUGUUUUUUUAGGAUAGCUUUUAGAUACACUUGGCCCAUUAGGCACUACCCUAGGCCCACUUAGUCUCACCUUAGGCCCGUUUAGGCACACUAGGCCUACGAAGACUUUUAUUUUAUUUUAUUUUAUUUUAUUUAUUUAUUUAUUUAUUUUGUUUUUAAUUUUAAUUUUAUGAUUAUCAUUCACUUUUUAUUGGUUAUCUUCCUCUUUAUAUUAUUUUCCUUAACUUAUUUAUUUAUUUAUUAUUUUUACCAUUUUUUUAAUUUAUUUACUUAUUUAUCUAUUCAUGCAAUUAUUUAACUUCAAAAAUUUCAUGUUUUUGCAAGGAAACUUACCAUUGGAGUUUAAGGAAGACGGGACUCUCCUUGGAAGGUUUUGGAGGGGAAUUUGAAAUUGGGAAGAUUGUUUUUGAUUGGAGGAUUUAAAAAAAGAAGAGAAGAAGAAAGGAAGGAGGAGAAUUUUCCUUUUUGGAAACAAAUUUAGGUCUUGAGGGGUGAUAUAUAUAGGUGAGAAAAGGAAAAGAAUAGGAGAUUUUUUCUUGGGGGCAGAGCACACGGAAUUUUGGAAAAAAGCAAGGGACUUCGAACGGAGAUCGGGUUGUCAUUUAAUCAUCAAGAGAGGAUUUUCUCUUUCACUUCAAAGGUUAGUUUUCUAUAUAGUACUUUUAUUUAGCCUAGAUUUUUAUUUUUUUAUUUUUUUUUAUUUUUUAUUUUUUAUUUUUUGGAAAUUUUAGUUUUUGAUUAAUUCUUUGUGUUAAAGUGUAUAUUAUUUUAUUUUUAAAUCCCCAAUUAGUUUAAUUCUAAUCUAUCUUUUAGUUUAAGUUUGUUAAUGAUCUUAAUUCUUAAGUUUAAAUAAUCAUAUCGAAUAAAGUUUGUAUUUUUAAUCCCAAUUAGUUUGAUUUUAACUUGUUUUUUUAGUUUAAAUGUAUUUUGUUGAUUUUAAUUCUUAAGUUUAAAUAAUUGUAUUGAAUAAAGUUUGUAUUUUUAAUCCCAAUUAGUUUGAUUUCAAUUCAUUUUUAAUUUAAAUGCAUUAGUUGAUCUUAAUUCUUUGUUUUGAAUAAUCACGUUAAAUAAAGUUUGUAUUUUUAAUCCCAAUUAAUUUGAUUUCAAUUCGUUUUUAGUUUAAAUACAUUUUAUUGAUCUUAAUUCUUAAGUUUAAAUAAUCAUAUCGAAUAAAGUUUGUAUUUUUAAUCCCAAUUAGUUUGAUUUUAAUUUGUUUUUUAGUUUAAAUGUAUUUUGUUGAUCUUAAUUCUUGACUUUAAAUAAUCACGUUAAAUAAAGUUUAUGUUUUCAAUCUCAAUUAGUUUGAUUCCAAUUCGUUUUUAGUUUAAAUACAUUUUAUUGAUCUUAAUUCUUAAGUUUAAAUAAUCAUAUCGAAUAAAGUUUGUAUUUUUAAUCCCAAUUAGUUUGAUUUUAACUUGUUUUUUAGUUUAAAUGUAUUUUAUUGAUCUUAAUUCCUAAGUUUAAAUAAUCAUAUCGAAUAAAGUUUGUAUUUUUAAUCCCAAUUAGUUUGAUUUUAACUUGUUUUUUAGUUUAAAUGUAUUUUGUUGAUUUUAAUUCUUAAGUUUAAAUAAUUGUAUUGAAUAAAGUUUGUAUUUUUAAUCCCAAUUAGUUUGAUUUCAAUUCAUUUUUAAUUUAAAUGCAUUAGUUGAUCUUAAUUCUUUGUUUUAAAUAAUCACGUUAAAUAAAGCUUGUAUUUUUAAUCCCAAUUAAUUUGAUUUCAAUUCGUUUUUUAGUUUAAAUAUAUUUUGUUGAUCUUAAUUCUUGACUUUUAAUAAUCACGUUAAAUAAAGUUUGUGUUUUUAAUCUCAAUUUGUUUGAUUUCAAUUCGUUUUUUAGUUUAAAUACAUUUUGUUGAUCUUAAUUCUUAAGUUUAAAUAAUCAUAUCGAAUAAAUUUUGUAUUUUUAAUCCCAAUUAAUUUGAUUUUAAUUUGUUUUUAGUUUAAAUGUAUUUUGUUGAUUUUAAUUCUUUACUUUAAAUAAUCACGUUAAAUAAAGUUUGUGUUUUUAAUCUCAAUUAGUUUGAUUUCAAUUCGUUUUUAGUUUAAAUGCAUUAGUUGAUCUUAAUUCUUAAGUUUAAAUAAUUAUGUUAGAUAAAGUUCAUGUUUUUAAUCCCAAAAUAGUUUAUUUUUAAUUUAUUUGUUAGUUUAAAUAUGUAUGUGAUUUGAAUACAUUAGUUUAAUUAAUCCCGUUAGAUAAAGUUUAAUCUUGAUUUAAUUUAUUUUUUUAGUCUAGAGGCAUUUAUGUGUUUAGUUAAUCUUAUGUUAAUUAUGGAUUGUUAUUCUCAAUUUACGCGCUUCUUGAAUCAUUGUUGCUAAUUCUUGAUGGAUAUUUCAUUAGCUUAUUUGAUCUAAAUAUUAAUAAUUUAUUGCUUUGAUAGUUUCCUUUUUGUUCAAAGGCCAUUGGAAAAUCAUGAAGAUUGGCCUCUACCAUCACCAUUAUCAUUUUUGUUAAUUACUAAAAAAAUUUUACUUUGAGGUUUCAUUUUUGUUUUGUUGGGUAUUUUAUUUCUUAUAUUUUAUUCUUUCCAAAUUAAUUCCUUUUAUUUUAAAAUAAAAUACUUUUCUCAAAAAAAUCAUUUUAAAAAUCUAUUUCAAAAACUCAUUUAGAGUCCUCAGGAUCAAAAUCUCUUUUUUUUUUUAUUAUUAUUUAAAAAUAAUAUGCAACCAUAUCUUGUUCGGUUUGCAUCCUUCUCGGUUUUCAACAAAAAUUUUGGUUUUGAACAAAAACACGAAUCAAAGCUUGUGGUCCCAAAUAAUGGGAUAAUUCUGGGCUAAAUUUGUGUAUAUUAAUUUGGGGAAUUGGUGAAACCCCUACAUAAGAAAAUCUUUUCAAAAAUUAUUUUUGUUGCCAUUUUUGUCACUUGUUGAAAUUAUGUCUAUCUUUUUUAGGAAUUGUAUAUAAGAUGUGUGUGAUAAUUAAUGUUUUCAUAUACUUUGAUAAUUUUUGUUAUGCUAAUUAGAUAACAAGCAUGCUAGGGUUUCUUUAUUUUAUUAUUAUCUAAUCCCUCAUGUCUUAUGGAAGCGCAUUGUAAGUUAUUUAUGCUAUCCAGGUACGCCCCCCCUAUCGCCUACUUUCUAAAUUUUGUAAACAAUCGUGUCACUAUGAAGUAUGCAUAUGUUUGAUAAUCCUUAGGUGUUUAGAUGUAUGUUUGAUUCACUAUGAUUAAAUACAUGUUGUGUGUUAUACUUCUAUACUAACUCUGAUGUUUUAUGAUAGCGCUUGAGAAGCGGUCCGGGUACGCAUCCUACCCUUUCUUUUAUGGCAAUUUGAUCUUGUUUAGCAUGCAAAUCUUUUGAAAUCACCUAGCCUACUUAGGUAUCCAUAAUUAACCGAUUAAUUGCCAUAUUCCCCUUAACUUAAUUAGUAGAGACCUCUUUAGGGCUUAGAGGGGUGCUACCUCCUAGAGGUACCUUCCCAAUAAGUAACCUGAUCCCCGGACCAAGACUUGGGUUUUCAAAGACACGCUUUUCCAAAAAUUAUGGAGUCAUUUUUUUUAGGGUUUUAUUUCUUGUUUUAUUUUCCCUUCAAAAAUAAAAAUAAAAUAAGUGGCGACUCCAACUUUUUUUCAAAAAAUCAAAUUUUCACAAAUAAAUAAAAAGCGAGUCUCGCCGAUCGAGUGGGGGCGCACGUGAAAAAUGCGGGUCCACAACAAGUCCCUCUACUAUUUGUAACUUUUGUGGAAGAGGAGGGCACAUUAGUAGAACAUGUCCCUUAAGAAAUGGAUCUCAAAAAAAUUCAAACACUAAGGUUAAAAAGGUUUGGAUUGAAAAAUCCAAAAUCACUAACCCUCAAGGACCCAAAAAGAUAUGAGUACCUAAAUCAACUUAAAUUUUAUUUUGUAGGGUUCAAAGAAGGAUAAGUGGUUCUUGGAUAGUGGAUGCUCAAGACACAUGACCGGGGAUGAAUCCAAGUUUGCUUUCCUCACAAAGAGAAAGGGAGGAUACGUUACUUUUGGAGACAAUGCAAAAGGAAGGAUCAUUGGUUAAGGCAACAUUGGUAAUGACACAUCCUCCCUUAUUGAAAGUGUUUUAUUAGUAGAUGGUUUAAAACAUAAUCUUUUAAGUAUUAGUCAACUUUGUGACAAAGGUUUUAAAGUAGUUUUUGAAGCAUCUCAUUGCAUUAUCAAAGAUAUUCAAAAUGAUAAAACCAUCUUCAUGGGCCAUAGAUGUGAUAAUGUCUAUGCUAUUAAUAUUUCAAAAUAUGAUGGCCAUGAUAGAUGCUUUUCAAGCAUGCAUGAUCAAAGUUGGUUGUGGCAUAGGAGGUUGGGACAUGCUAACAUGGACCUCAUUUCCCAACUCAACAAAGAUGAACUUGUUAGAGGCCUUCACAAAGUAAAUUUUCAAAAAGACAAAGUUUGUGAAGCUUGUCAAAUGGGAAAGAAAAUCAAAAAUUCUUUUAAAAACAAAAAUUUUAUUUCAACAUCUAGACCUCUUGAGUUGUUGCAUAUGGAUUUAUUUGGUCCCUCUAGGACACCAAGUCUUGGAGGAAAAUUUUAUGCAUAUGUUAUUGUGGAUGACUUCUCUAGAUACACUUGGGUCUUGUUUUUAAGUCAAAAGAAUGAAGCAUUUUAUGAGUUUUCAAAGUUUUGCAACAAAGUUCAAAAUGAAAAAGGUUUCACAAUCACUUGUAUAAGAAGUGAUCAUGGGAGAGAAUUUGAAAACAUUGAUUUUGAAGACUAUUGCAAUGAACAUGGUAUUAACCAUAAUUUUUCGACUCCUAGAACUCCUCAACAAAAUGGGAUAGUUGAAAGGAAAAAUAGAACUCUUCAAGAAAUGGCUAGAACCAUGCUAAAUGAAAACAACUUACCAAAAUAUUUUUGGGCCGAAGCGGUUAACACUUCAUGUUAUGUUUUAAAUAGAAUACUUUUGAGGCUCAUUCUUAAGAACACUCCCUAUGAGCUUUGGAAAAACAAGAAACCCAACAUUAGCUAUUUCAAAGUCUUUGGAUGCAAAUGUUUUAUAUUAAACACCAAAGAUAAUAUUGGAAAAUUUGAUGCAAAAUUGGAUGUUGGAAUUUUUCUUGGUUAUUCAACUUCAAGGAAAGCUUUUAGAGUGUUUAACAAAAGAACCAUGGUUGUAGAGGAGUCCAUCCAUGUCAUUUUUUAUGAAUCUAACAAUUCCUUCCAAGAAAAAGAAAGCUUUGAUGAUGAUUUAGGCUUGGAGACCUCCAUGGGAAAAUUGCAAAUUGAAGAUAGAAUGCAACAAGAAGAAAUUGAAGAGGAUCCCAAGAAAGAAGAAUCACUAUUGGCACUACCCCCUCCUCAUUAAGUACAAAGUGAAUCAAGCCAAGACCUUCCUAAAGAUUGGAAGUUUGUGAUCAACCACCCACAAGAUCAAAUUAUAGGUAAUCCAUCUAGUAGGGUAAGAAUUAGAUCAUCUCUCAAAAACAUUUGCAAUAAUCUUGCUUUUGUCUCUCAAAUUGAACCUAAAAAUAAAAAUGAUGCUCUAGUUGAUGAAAAUUGGAUGAUUGCCAUGCAAGAAGAGUUAAAUCAAUUUGAAAGAAGUGAAGUAUGGGAAUUAGUGCCAAGACCCUCAAAUCAAAGUGUUAUUGGAACUAUAUGGGUCUUUAGAAAUAAAAUGGAUGAAAAUGGCAUAAUUGUUAGAAAUAAAGCAAGAUUGGUAGCCCAAGGUUUUAAUCAAGAAGAUGGGAUAGAUUAUGAAGAAACCUUUGUGCCAGUAGCUAGAUUAGAAGCCAUUAGAAUGCUACUUGCAUUUGCAUGUUUUAAAGACUUUGUCUUGUAUCAAAUGGAUGCAAAAAGUGCUUUCUUAAAUGGUUUCAUAAAUGAAGAAGUAUAUGUUGAA